CAGCUUGUGGAGUUUGCCAUUCUGAUCUGCACGUUAUGAAGGGCGAGAUUCCAUUCCCUAGCCCUUGUGUAGUUGGGCAUGAGAUCACUGGUGAAGUUGUCGAACAUGGACCUCUCACAGACAGGAAAACAAUAGAAAGACUUCCAAUUGGGGCUCAUGUUGUAGGAGCUUUCAUCAUGCCUUGUGGAAACUGUUCCUACUGUUCAAAGG
rnacentral:misc_RNA from 1 species